AGAGAAUUGCUUGAACCGCCUGGGAGGCAGAGGUUGCAGUGGGCCAAGAACGCGCCACUGCACUCCAGCCUGGGCAACAAGA
rnacentral:snRNA from 1 species